UGUAGUUUAAAGCUCUUUGACAAUAAAGACAACCAAAGAAAAAAAUGUGAGUACAUUGAUCUAUUUAUCUCGCCUACCUCGCACUUAGUAUGUCCACCAGUGAAAAUGUGUCUGUAGAGGACUAUUUCCUGUUGUUGGCCACGUUCGGUGAAUGCCCUGUGUUAAAGUUGCUGUGUAGAAUCCAAUUUUUCCAGGGUCAAUAGUCUAAUAUCUAAACCUAAUAUCUUUUGAGUGAGGCAUAUACCCCCACAAUCUGAGUACAGAAGAUAACAAUUUCUGCCAUUAGAGGUUCAACAUACACAUCUGUGGAUGCAUCAAAUGUUUCUCUCUGUCUGUUUUAGCUCUGACAACCAAUCCAGGCGCACCUUAUGAUAGUGGGAUGGACUCCAGAAUACCCAUGACCUUUAAGCAACAAAGAAGAUGUCAUGGUCCGCGGCCCGGCGUCCGAGGUGCGGAUGGGAUGCCCACGCCCACGGGCGUGGCUGCUAACUCCACACCUGCAUCCCAUCCCAGGCGAUCACCAGGUGGACUAUUUAAUCCUGCCCAGCCUGCCGCUCCACGGCAGUCCGUAGUCGCCUCUCAGCGAUCUCAACUCGGCGUGUUUUGAGCCACCUGCCUGUCCACCUGCCCGUCUGGAAUUUGGAUCUCGAUCAGCACUCGCCGCCUCGACUUUUCUGGAGCUCCCCCGCGGACCCUCACCCCUCCCUCCGGCUCCCUCGGCCCCGCUAUCAUCCCUCCCACAGCCCUGCUCUCAGCGUUCCCUGCGCGACUCACCUCCCCGGUCCCUCUGUGUUUUCUGGUUCCAUACGUUGUUUUUUUCCGGCUACCCUCACGGGACACCUUUAGUUAUAAUAAAAUUUGGUUUCUUUAUUCUCUCCUACCCUGGUG